rnacentral:tRNA from 1 species
UGGGGAGUCGUCGAAUUGGCAAGACGCCUGACUCUGGAUCAGGAAGCUGUAGGUUCGAGUCCUACCUCCCCAGCCC